UCCAAUCGGUUCGACAUUUCCAAAAUUUUGCAACUGUUUCCUUUUUGAAAUUUAUUUCUAAUAGAAAACCCUAAAUGUUUUGCAUCAUCUACAAUAAAAAAAAGUUUACUCAUUGGAUUUCUCUCUGCUAGUUCGUUAUUUCAAAAUCUUCUUCAAUCAGUAAUGUUUUAGAAGAAUCCAUCAUAUAUUCUAGAUAAUCUUCUUUGUCUCCGAUUGUUUUGUGUGGAUUUCUCCCAAUUAGAGCCCAAUUGGAGAAAACUUACCAUGUGAAUCGAGUGUUAUUUGAAGUCCUUUGCAUGGUUAACAAGUUGAAGAAAUUAUUGAAUCUUGCUGACAUCAUUAAAUCUAUCAGAGAUAAAGAUAUCAAGGCAAAACAAGUUAUAUACGCACCGACAACAAUUUUCCCUUUGAAUUUUGUAGGGGAGUCACAAUGCAUCAUUCAGGCCCUGGAUAGGUAGAUUUUGAAUUACGAAUUCCGUUUUUCUUGUGUUGAGUCGUGGUUAGGAUUCGUAAUAUGUGGACGUUUGGGAUGAAUGUCAGUUGGAAGGGCAUUCAAAGAAAUACAAUUUGAAGAUAGUCGAAUCCCUUUGAAGAUGGUUUAUCUAAAAAUUUAGGGUUUUAUGCGAUCCAGAUUUAUUAUAGCAUCAAUUGUUUCAUCAUGAUCAUGUAGCAGAAACUGUCAACAAGAGGCAAAGAAUUUGUGUCGAUUCCAAGCACCAGAUUUGAUUAUCCACUCAACCAUUUCUUUAGUUGGUCGAGAUUUUAUGGCUUGUGCUCAAACGGAUCCGGCAAAGGGGGCAAAUCGUACGAUUUUUAGAUAUCCUUUCAGAUCGCGUCCAAACCUAAGAACGACAAGCUACCUGCUUUACCACCGUCAAUUGCAUUCAGGUUUCUCGUGACCGGCAUCUGUUGGUCUUCAAUACUUACAUUCACCGCUGAAAACACCCAGCCCCAUUGUCCCUCUUGUGUGUGACACAUGACUUAUCUUGAUGUUGAGUUUUAUGUGACGCUUAUUUUUCUUCAGUAUUCUAUUCGUGUUCCGGUGGCCGCCUACGGUGGUUUUGGGCCCUUCUUCUACGGUUUUCUUUGUUUAGGUUGAGUCCCAUAUGAAAGCUUUUGGUCAAACCAUUUCUUUAAUUGGUCGAGAUUUGAUGGCUUUUGCUCAAACGGAUUCGGGUUAAACAAUAACAUUUUGCUUCCGCAAAGGGGGCAAAUCGUCAAGAUUUUUAGAUAUCCUUUCAGAUCUCUGCCAAACCUAAAAACGACAAGCUACUCGCUUUACCACCGUCAAUUGCAUUCAGGUUUCUCGUGACCGGCAUCUGUUGGUCUUCAAUACGUACAUUCACCGCUGAAAACACCCAGCCCCAUUGUCCCUCUUGUGUGUGACGCGUGAAUUAUCUUGAUGUUGAGUUUUAUGUGGCGCUUAUUUUUAUUCAGUAGUCUAUUUGUGUUCCGGUGGCCACUUACGGUGGUUUUGGGCGCUUCUUCUGCGGUUUUCUUUGUUCAGGCAUAUUGGUAACCAGUCUGCAGAAACAUGGUAAUGUUUUCAGGUGUGCAUAACUAAGAAACCAGUUGGAACCAUAGGACAUUGAUCAAACAUGUUUAUUCACCUCUAAAUUAUUAGCAUAGGGCAGUUGAUUACCCUUUUCGGUGCUAAUAAUUAUUGUGGUAAGCAUCCUUAGCUUUUCAUAUUUUUACUCUCUCUCUCUCUCUCUCUCUCUCUCUCUCUCUCUCUCUCUCUCUUUAUAUAUAUACACACACACACCAUAUACAUACUAGAUGUUUACUGGGUUGAUGCUAGGGGUGUUAAUCGGGUCGGGUUAGUUGGGUUUUGAGGUUUCCAAAAUGUAAUCGAACACUGGCCCAAAUAAGCUCGGUUCAAUAGGUGUUGGGGUUUAACGAAUUGGGUUAGUUGGUUAUUUGGGCUGUUUAAUUGGCUGCUAAAAAGUCUUCUGAAGUUUGGUUUAAUCAUGCUAUGUAAAUGGAUUGAUUACAUGUCACAAUCAUUAGUUUAACGUAAAUGGAUUGAUUUUGUAUUUGACUUUGAAAAAUUAAAUCAGAUUUCAGUUUUGAAUGUAUAGUCAUGUCAAACUAGGGGUUUUUGGCUGUGGGUUUUAAGUUUAAUGGUGGUUAACUGAUUAUUGUGUCACGGGUAGGAGAUCUUUUUUAUUACUAUAUGAUGAUUUAAGGUCAAACAACCAGUUACAGCAACACUAAUUAAAAAAAUGGUAGAUGUUGGAUAUGAUGUUAUAAAACGGGAACUUGGAGAUACGCACUAUGCUAUGUAACUAUGUCAUGGUUUCUGUUCUAUAAAGUUUAGUCACACAUCUUUCUUCAAGUCAAUUUUCUUACGCCCGAAGUGAAUAUACCGGUUCGGAACCGGUACCAAAAACGAGGAAAAUAGGUAUCGUAUUGUAGAUUGCUGAAAGGAUUGGAAUUGAGGUAUGAAGCAAGGCGAACUGCUAUUGAAUUGACGAAAUAACGUUUCUGUUAUAAGUUAGAUAUUCAGGUGUUGAAUACAAUUGUGUAGUGCCGUAUUGUUUUAUAAUUUAUGGUUAUGGUAUGAUAUCUCAGUGGUACGUGAUCGAGCCUGGGUUGGCAAGUCGCACAAUACAAUGGUUAUCAUUCAGGGGGGCUGCAAAAGUAUCAAUUUGGCUGAUUGGACAACAGGCGUACAUGGAUGCCUAUCUUAGCCUUCUACAUUUGACUGUAAGAAUAUUAGCCGAGUCACUGUUUGAUGCUUUCGCUCCUACUUCCUUUUUUAAGUUUGUGGUAUUCUCAAUCUUUGAGAUGAGAUAUCUUCUCACUAUAUGGAAGGCAAGUCGGUUUGUAAAUAAUGUAGAGGGUUAAGAAACAAUGAGACGUGAACUUUCACUUCUUUUUAGCUGGUUCUGAAGCCCAGAAAGCAUUUGAAAUUACGAGGUCAGAAGAAAUGAAAUAAAAAGAUGAUAAUUUCGUCUUUAAUGAUCCCCAGAAGAUUACACUGAAAGUGAUGAGAAGCCAGAGCAGAAUCCAAGAUACGAUAAUUUCGCCUUUAAGGAUCCGGAGAACAUUACAACCGAAAGUGAUGAAAAAAUCUAAUUGCUUCAUCCAUUGAGUUAAAGUCAAGUUUGCGCACAUACAUUUAAUAUCAUGGUGGUAUAAGAUUAACCAUUUCGGUAAAACUAAAUUCUUGAUGCAUGAGAGAUGAGAGAUGAUGAUAUUACAUUUUUCACAUUUUACCAUUGCAUUCAGUCAAGUAUCGUGGACUGGUCCUUAUUCAAUUGCCUUGGAUACAAGCAAUGCUUGGAUCAUGGAAUAAGACUACAGGAGAUAGCAAGCAUACGGGGUGGUAUUUUCUUCUAUUUUAUUUUUAGCAAUUUUUUUGUAGGAAUAUUAAUACGUCAACUAAUUUUAAAAUAAAAAAGAAGUCUUAGACCA